UUACGGCCACAUCAUGUUGAAUCAGUAUUUCUCGUACGAUCACCGAAGUUAAGCAACGUCAAGCCAGAGGAGUACCCAGAUGGAUGACCGCUUGGGAAUACCAGAUACUGUAAG